rnacentral:lncRNA from 1 species
UUGAGAACCCGACCUUGGGGCCCUUUGAUUGGAAGAACGUGCAGCGCACCUCGGCAUUGAGGGCGGCUUCCUCGGGGCGCGGCGCCGCCCGCCUCUGAGUGCGCCUGCCUCUCUCAAUUGGGCAAAGCACUCCAGACCUUUUGGAAGAGUGACACCAAAGGCAAGCACCUGCUUGGCAGGCCCCUCAGCUUCUACGCAAGUAUAAGUCUCCCAAGUACUAGAAUGCAGAGUUUCCUGGCUAUGGGAUAAGCACAACUUGGACCAAAAUGCCCUGUAUU